GCGGGUGUCGCCAAGUGGUAAGGCGUCAGCCCUCCAAGCUGAUAUUCGUGGGUUCGAAUCCCAUCACCCGCU
rnacentral:tRNA from 1 species